rnacentral:rRNA from 1 species
GGGUUGUGAGGUUAAGCGACUAAGCGUACACGGUGGAUGCCCUGGCAGUCAGAGGCGAUGAAGGACGUGCUAAUCUGCGAUAAGCGUCGGUAAGGUGAUAUGAACCGUUAUAACCGGCGAUUUCCGAAUGGGGAAACCCAGUGUGAUUCGUCACACUAUCAUUAACUGAAUCCAUAGGUUAAUGAGGCGAACCGGGGGAACUGAAACAUCUAAGUACCCCGAGGAAAAGAAAUCAACCGAGAUUCCCCCAGUAGCGGCGAGCGAACGGGGAGCAGCCCAGAGCC